AGGCAGCAGUGGGGAAUAUUGCACAAAUGGGGGAAACCCUGAUGCAGCGACCGCCGACGUGAAGGAAGAAGUAUCUCGGUAUGUAAACUUCUAUCAGCAGGGAAGAAAGUGACGGUACCUGACUAAGAAGCCCCGGCUAACUACGUGCC
rnacentral:rRNA from 1 species